GACGAACGCUGGCGGCGUGCCUAAUACAUGCAAGUUGAGCGCUGAAGGUUGGUACUUGUACCGACUGGAUGAGCAGCGAACGGGUGAGUAACGCGUGGGGAAUCUGCCUUUGAGCGGGGGACAACAUUUGGAAACGAAUGCUAAUACCGCAUAAAAACUUUAAACACAAGUUUUAAGUUUGAAAGAUGCAAUUGCAUCACUCAAAGAUGAUCCCGCGUUGUAUUAGCUAGUUGGUGAGGUAAAGGCUCACCAAGGCGAUGAUACAUAGCCGACCUGAGAGGGUGAUCGGCCACAUUGGGACUGAGACACGGCCCAAACUCCUACGGGAGGCAGCAGUAGGGAAUCUUCGGCAAUGGACGAAAGUCUGACCGAGCAACGCCGCGUGAGUGAAGAAGGGUUUCGGAUCGGAAAACUCGGUUGGUAGAGAAGAACGUUGGUGAGAGUGGAAAGCUCAUCAAGUGACGGUAACUACCCAGAAAGGGACGGCUAACUACGUG
rnacentral:rRNA from 1 species